rnacentral:lncRNA from 1 species
CCAAAUUAUGUAAAAUUGUAAAUUAGUUUAAAAGAUAUCUAACCAAUAGAAACUGUUCUUAUAAAAAUAUGUAUUCUAAAAGUCAUUUUGAUUGGUGAAUAAAACAAGUCCAACCAACACGUGUUCUAGGGGUUUAAAAUAGGAAACCCUAAGGAAUCAAACAUUAAUUUACUGGUAUGGUUGGACUCGAAAUAAACAUAUAUAGACAUC